CCGAUUAAGAUAGGACUGCAUCAGGGGUCAGCUUUGAGCCCUUAUCUUUUUGCAUUGGUGAUGGAUGAGGUCACAAGGGGUAUACAAGGAGAUAUCCCAUGGUGUAUGCUCUUUGCGGAUGAUGUGGUGCUAGUUGACGAUAGUCGGACGGGGGUAAAUAGGAAGUUAGAGUUAUGGAGACAAACCUUGGAAUCGAAAGAGUUUAGGCUUAGUAGAACUAAAACCGAGUACAUGAUGUGCGGUUUCAGUACUACUAGCUGUGAGGAGGAGGAGGUUAGCCUUGAUGGCCAGGUGGUACCUCGGAAGGACACCUUUCGGUAUUUGGGGUCAAUGUUGCAGGAGGAUGGGGGUAUUGAUGAAGAUGUGAACCAUCGAAUCAAAGCCGGAUGGAUGAAGUGGCGCCAAGCUUCUGGCAUUCUCUGUGACAAGAGA
rnacentral:rRNA from 1 species